UACGUAGGGUGCGAGCGUUGUCCGGAAUUAUUGGGCGUAAAGAGCUCGUAGGCGGUGUGUCACGUCGGCCGUGAAAACCUGCAGCUUAACUGUGGGCGUGCGGUCGAUACGGGCAUCACUGGAGUUCGGCAGGGGAGACUGGAAUUCCUGGUGUAGCGGUGAAAUGCGCAGAUAUCAGGAGGAACACCGGUGGCGAAGGCGGGUCACUGGCCCGGUACUGACGCUGAGGCGCGAAAGCGUGGGGAGCAAACAGG
rnacentral:rRNA from 1 species